UAUGUCUAUAUACUUCCACUUUUUUAUUGUUUACUACAAGAAAUAGUGCUUUCAAACAUAAAAUUAUUUAUUUGCAAUUGCAACUUCCCUUAUUAAAAAUUGAUUUCUGAAGUUUCCCAGUCGUUUUUUUUUUUGCUUCUAAAUUAAGUUUGGGCAGAAGAUAUAUUGACCAUAUAAAAUAGUGUACCAUCAUUAAAGGGUUUAUUCACUAAACACUAAUAUAACGUAGAG